CCUACGGGAGGCAGCAGUGGGGAAUCUUGCGCAAUGGGCGAAAGCCUGACGCAGCCAUGCCGCGUGAAUGAUGAAGGUCUUAGGAUUGUAAAAUUCUUUCACCGGGGACGAUAAUGACGGUACCCGGAGAAGAAGCCCCGGCUAACUUCGUGCCAGCAGCCGCGGUAAUACGAAGGGGGCUAGCGUUGCUCGGAAUUACUGGGCGUAAAGGGAGCGUAGGCGGACAUUUAAGUCAGGGGUGAAAUCCCAGAGCUCAACUCUGGAACUGCCUUUGAUACUGGGUGUCUUGAGUGUGAUAGAGGUAUGUGGAACUCCGAGUGUAGAGGUGAAAUUCGUAGAUAUUCGGAAGAACACCAGUGGCGAAGGCGACAUACUGGAUCAUUACUGACGCUGAGGCUCGAAAGCGUGGGGAGCAAACAGGAUUAGAUACCCUGGUAGUCCACGACGUAACGAUNAUNNUAGUGUCGGGUGUUACUAUCUCGUGACGCNGCUACGCAUAGANAUCCGCCGUGGGAGGUACGGUCGCGAGAGUAAACUACAAGUAAGUAGAGNGUGNGAGUGCGAGGCGCGACGAGGAGAGG
rnacentral:rRNA from 1 species